rnacentral:lncRNA from 10 species
GGUGACAUUAUAAAUACUGGAAGGAUAGAGAAGGGAAAUAAUGGGCUUUAUUUUAUCCAUGACUUCAGAGGUAACAUCAUACAGUUAAAAUGAGAAAAUGAAUAGGAUAAAGAGUUACAGGGACUUCCUGGAAGAAUCAAGAGCCCUGAUGGAGAAUGGGAAUCACCAUAAAUAUCUCAAUUUUCCCUACAGAACCCAAGGUUGGCAAGUUCCCUGUCUUAAAAUCAUUCUUUCUAGUAAGAGGAUUUGAAGAUGGAAGCCAGAUUGGCCAGGUCGGGAGGUUCCACUCUGUGAAAUCAGCCGCAUUCAAGACACAGUAAGGGUUUAAAAGCCAGAUGCAGUGCUCAAGUGGAGUACUUGCCUAAUGAUGAGCUCUCUAAAUUUGCCAUUUCUGGAAUCUACACUAAUUCUGUUAAUACUUUUAGAAUGGCCCGAUUAUAAUUCUCGAUAAUGCUACAAACUUAUUCAUGCUACAAACGUAAUUUGAGGACUAGCCGGACACUGUGAUAGACAUGAUAAUCCAGAAAUGCACCCUACCUUUGCCCUGGAAAGCCUCUCUUCCCCUCUCACAGACCCUAACCCUCUGUGUGAGGGAUCCUCGCAUUUCUGGACAGCAACUGGGGAUCCAUGAAAAGGUCAAUAUGGCUGGAUUUUUGGGUGCAAAGGAGAAGGGGAGGGGCUUAUUCUCCCUGACUUUAUAGAGAGAGUUAAUUGAAGACUGAAUUUUAAUCCUAAAAUUCAAGUUGCUUCCACAUUGAAAAGAAAAUUUAUAUCUAAGAGUUUGAAGUCACAGCUCCUCUGUUUUUGAAAACAAGAUGAAAAUUUGUCUUUUAAUCAUUUUUUAACUUAGGGAAAGGAAAUGUUCAAAGAACAAAAUUUUAAACUGUGGCGCCCUUCUGAGGAGGAAAGUCACAUACAGCAGAGGGAGCAGAGGGUCCGCGAUGCGGGCCGAGCAAGAAGCAGGGGAGCUUCAGGACUGUGAGUGAGUUCUUUAAGAGCAUCAGGCUGCAGUGGCUUGACAGGGCUGUCCCAGAGAUGUUUCCUAGUAAUGAAGGAAAGCCUCAUGAAGGGCUGUCUCCUUCCUGAUUAUUUUACUUUUAACCCAACACAACAAAUAGAAGGCAGAUUUCCCAAACACACCAAGGAAGUUGAAUGGCCUGAAGAAAAUCUGACAUCUGCAUAUCAGCAUGGACUAGCUCUCAAAUACUUUGCAUGAAUAAUAAAUUAAAAUGGCAGCUCAAGCAGGACAGGCAGA